rnacentral:rRNA from 1 species
CGCGUGAGGGAUGACGGCCUUCGGGUUGUAAACCUCUUUCAGCACAGACGAAGCGCAAGUGACGGUAUGUGCAGAAGAAGGACCGGCUAACUACGUGCCAGCAGCCGCGGUAAUAAUCGUAGGGCGCAAGCGUUAUCCGGAAUUAUUGGGCGUAAAGAGCUCGUAGGCGGUUUGUCGCGUCUGCUGUGAAAACUGGAGGCUCAACCUCCAGCCUGCAGUGGGUACG